rnacentral:rRNA from 1 species
CCUACGGGGGGCUGCAGUGGGGAAUAUUGGACAAUGGGGGGAACCCUGAUCCAGCCAUGCCGCGUGUGUGAAGAAGGCCCUCGGGUUGUAAAGCACUUUCAGUGAGGAAGAACGCCUGGUGGUUAAUACCCAUCAGGAAAGACAUCACUCACAGAAGAAGCACCGGCUAACUCCGUGCCAGCAGCCGCGGUAAUACGGAGGGUGCGAGCGUUAAUCGGAAUCACUGGGCGUAAAGCGCGCGUAGGUGGCUUGAUAAGCCGGUUGUGAAAGCCCCGGGCUCAACCUGGGAACGGCAUCCGGAACUGUCAAGCUAGAGUGCAGGAGAGGAAGGUAGAAUUCCCGGUGUAGCGGUGAAAUGCGUAGAGAUCGGGAGGAAUACCAGUGGCGAAGGCGGCCUUCUGGACUGACACUGACACUGAGGUGCGAAAGCGUGGGUAGCAAACAGGAUUAGAUACCCCAGUAGUC